CAACAUUUGCCAUAAUUUAUCCAACAUUAAUGAAAAUAUAAAUGCAUGGUUUGUUAUAUUAUGAAACAUGGACAAAGCACACACAACUUGUGUGUAAGCCAAUCACUGAUAAAAUCUAAUAUCAUUCAAAGCAAAUGGAAUCAAAGUAAUAAACCUAUGAAUGAAAGAUUCCUACAGAAUUACAGUAACAUGGCAACGUGUUUUUGCAAUUAAGUUACGGUUUCUGUUGUCCAAAUAUUAGCACUUACAUUUUCAAUAAAUGUACCAACUGCAAUGCCAGGAGACAACUCAUUUGCAUCUGGCUGUGUGUAUUUGCCCAAGCUGAAGCAGCUGGAGACGAUGGACAAUCACAGAGCUCAAUAUGUUGACUGGCAUUGAAAGUAAAGUCAGUUCAAGUGUAGAACAUGCUCAAUUUAGCUCAGACGGGGGAGGGCUCUCUCAAUUGGAGUUGGGAACAGAAAUGGGACACCGCAGCUGAGCACAGGAGUAAAUAAUGCAAAGGAGAAGACAGGCAGACGCUUUAGCUUUGAUUGGCCAAAAGACAAGGCCCGGCCAAUUAGCUGGGUUGGCCCUGACCAGGUCUGAAAUGAAGCUGAAGCUGGAGUUUCAGUUGGAUGAUGCACAGACGCCAGUGGUGAAUGCCUCACUAAGUGCAUGAAUAAAUAAACCGAAGUCACUUGACUAGUUAGCCCCCACAUAACCCCCUUCACACACCAACCACCCAACACCACAACAGUCAGAGUCAACACAUGUUAACAACUUGAUGGCCAAAAGUCAAAUGGCUUAAAUGCCCAGCACAUUGUAAGCAAACAGCGUCAGUCCCAACGGCCAACGUGGAACAGGGUACAACAGCAACAGCACCAACCAUGAAACACCAAAAAAAAAAAAAAAACACAAAAAAGAAGAAAGAAAACUCGAGCCAACAGAGGGACAUAUGCAAAUGCAGGCAAAUAAAAUUAUUAUUCAAAUUUUUGGCAUGUCCCAUGAGCGUUAAACUAACAGCUACGACUACAAUGGACAGCUUGGAAUUUAACAUGAGCCUGUUCUUCAUGCUGUUGACUGUCACUCCAAGCACUUCCCCUCCCACCCACCGAAUGAGGCGACUGUCCAAACAACUUCAAAACGCUUCAUAAAACCCAAGUUCCUGCAGCGGAAUGUUCAUAAUGAUGAUGAUGAUGAUGCGGUGUUGAGGACUGGGCGGUUCUUGUAGUUGGCUAACAAUUUGAAUUGAAGCGAUCAACAGUUAUAUCCUGGUGAUUGCCUUAAAUAUACACAGUUGAACAAAGCAUGAAAGGCUAAUACCUACACUGAAAAAAAGUAAGGGAAAUAGGCUGAAAAACUGUGAAAAGAAAAUAAAUGCAAGCUUAUUCAGAACAGAACCAUAA